rnacentral:rRNA from 1 species
AACGAACGCUGGCGGCAUGCCUAACACAUGCAAGUCGAACGAACCCUUUCGGGGUUAGUGGCGCACGGGUGCGUAACGCGUGGGAAUCUGCCCUUUGCUUCGGAAUAACUCAGGGAAACUUGUGCUAAUACGGAUGAUGUCGAAAGACCAAAGAUUUAUCGGCAAGGGAUGAGCCCGCGUAGGAUUAGGUAGUUGGUGGGGUAAAGGCCUACCAAGCCGACGAUCCUUAGCUGGUCUGAGAGGAUGAUCAGCCACACUGGGACUGAGACACGGCCCAGACUCCCACGGGAGGCAGCAGUGGGGAAUAUUGGACAAUGGGCGAAAGCCUGAUCCAGCAAUGCCGCGUGAGUGAUGAAGGCCUUAGGGUCGUAAAGCUCUUUUACCAGGGAUGAUAAUGACAGUACCUGGAGAAUAAGCUCCGGCUAACUCCGUGCCGGCAGCCGCGGUAAUACGGAGGGAGCUAGCGUUGUUCGGAAUUACUGGGCGUAAAGCGUACGUAGGCGGUUAUUCAAGUCAGAGGUGAAAGCCCGGGGCUCAACCCCGGAACGGCCUCUGAAACUAGGUAGCUAGAAUCUUGGAGAGGUCAGUGGAAUCCCGAGUGUAGAGGUGAAAUUCGUAGAUAUUCGGAAGAACACCAGUGGCGAAGGCGACUGACUGGACAAGUAUUGACGCUGAGGUACGAAAGCGUGGGGAGCAAACAGGAUUAGAUACCCUGGUAGUCCACGCCGUAAACGAUGGUAACUAGCUGUCCGGGCACUUGGUGCCUGGGUGGCGCAGCUAACGCAUUAAGUUAUCCGCCUGGGGAGUACGGUCGCAAGAUUAAA